rnacentral:rRNA from 1 species
GAUGAACGCUAGCUACAGGCUUAACACAUGCAAGUCGAGGGGCAGCAUGGUCUUAGCUUGCUAAGGCCGAUGGCGACCGGCGCACGGGUGAGUAACACGUAUCCAACCUGCCGUCUACUCUUGGACAGCCUUCUGAAAGGAAGAUUAAUACAAGAUGGCAUCAUGAGUCCGCAUGUUCACAUGAUUAAAGGUAUUCCGGUAGACGAUGGGGAUGCGUUCCAUUAGAUAGUAGGCGGGGUAACGGCCCACCUAGUCUUCGAUGGAUAGGGGUUCUGAGAGGAAGGUCCCCAACAUUGGAACUGAGACACGGUCCAAACUCCUACGGGAGGCAGCAGUGAGGAAUAUUGGUCAAUGGGCGCAGGCCUGAACCAGCCAAGUAGCGUGAAGGAUGACUGCCCUAUGGGUUGUAAACUUCUUUUAUAAAGGAAUAAAGUCGGGUAUGUAUACCCGUUUGCAUGUACUUUAUGAAUAAGGAUCGGCUAACUCCGUG